ensembl:lncRNA
AUUUUGCUGAAGAUCCCUAUAUGCCUGAGUUAUUCUGAAGCAAGUGUCUGAGACUUGCGUCUAUCCUAGAGAUAUUUUAUUGCCUUACACCAACUUGAAAGUAAAUCCUGACAUAAAGAGAUCCAAUUGUUUGCCCAGGCUGGACUGCAAGAUAAUGACAGAGCUUGAAAAGAAUCCAAAACUCUCAAUUUCUUCUGUACCCUGCAUUCAGGUCUGCAAUGUCAAUGCUGUGCAGAUUCGAAACAGGAAAAUAAACCAUAGGUCGAACUGAACUAUGCUGUAAACAUGUGAACUGAAUUUGCGUAGUUCGGUGCACUAAGGGAACUGAUGGUUCAGAGAUCAAAUUCUUAAAUUGGAGAGGAUAUGCUAGGGAGAGGUGUAUUUCAAUUAUUAUUCUAUCUGGUAUAGUAUGUAGUUGGAAAAUCUGUAGUCCCAUGAAUGAAAGCCUGCUCUGGCAUCAUCCCUUGUGAAGGGUGGAGGUGGAACAAAAGAAAACUCCCCAUUUAUGUGUUCAGAGAGUCACUACAAAGGCAGAAAAAUAUUUUGACUCUGACUGAGUAAGGUCUCUGUGCUGCUCAAAUGAUCUCCAAGGAAUUACAAGCUAUGCUAGAGAAAUCUGGGAAUAACCCUGAGAGGGUCAUUGCUCCUUUUUCAGGCUAAUAGUUUCCAAAUUCUUUCAUUAACCUUUUCACUUCUAUCUAAAGGUCACCAGAGGUAACAUGUUUGUGAAGAUCUCCUAUAAAAAUACUCCAUUUUUAAUGGCUCAUUUUCCUCUCUUUAACACGGUAUACUGGCUGGAAACAUCUAGUCAUUUGUUGGAUGAAAACCCCACUUCAUAUUCUCAAUGCUCUGAUCUUAUUCUUUGCAGUUUUGAAAGCUAUUCUGGAUAAGAUUCUACACUGUAAAAUAAAAUGAAAACCUCAUUAAGAUUAAAAAGAACAGGCUUCAAGCAUACAAAUUAAUAUUUUUUUUAAUGUCAAAAUUACAUCUGUCAAAGAGCUACAACCUAACAGACAGAGAAUGAAAUUCAUUAUCUUCAUCUCCCUAGCCCUCUGGGACUCUUUUUAAAGGAUCCAUUAAGAAAUCUGCUAAAUAUCUGCUUUGGAAACUCUGUAGUCUGGUUCUGGAAAAACUGUUAGUUAUGGAUGGCUUUUAUGUUAUUUGGGUUUGUUGGGGUUUUUUUUUUUCAUGGUGGUUUUGUUCUAUUUUGGAGGGGUUUCUGUGUAUGCUGUUGUUAAUUUUUUGUAUGUGUACAAGUGCUGUUUACUUCAGACUCAUAAACGGAGACUUAUCAUUUCCUUGUAAUUUAUAGCAGGUGGAUGAUUGCUCACUACAAGCAUGUUUAAAAGAAUAAACAAGAACAUGAC